GGAGAGAUGGCUCAGUGGUUAAGAGCACUGGCUGUUUUUUCAGAGGUUCUGAGUUCAAUUCUCAGCCACCA
rnacentral:tRNA from 1 species